AUUCGAUUGGUACCAAGGAAGGGUACAGUAAUACAAUCGAUUUUCGAGUGUUGAGUACAACGUAUGAAUGCAACAACACCUUAAAGAUACGGUCCCAAUGAACGUCCACUUUGAUAAGCUGAAAAAAAAUUCUACUGGCCGCUUUGUUUUUAACAGCACCGCCUUCGCCGCUUUUUCUCAUGACGGCUCAACUCAGACGAACGUAAAUAUCAACAAGACAACUUCGUUUCGAUUUCAGUGGCAGCUUACUGAAAAAGUUAUACAAUUUACUAGCUCCAACAAUGAUGCUGGAACUGGUGACGAGUGAUAACAAUUUCGAGAUCAAUGAGUCGGAGGAUCCGGCGAACGACCUGCGGG